rnacentral:SRP_RNA from 1 species
CGCUGGGUCCCGGUCGGUGCGGCGUUCGUGAAACCCGUCAGAUCCGGAAGGAAGCAGCGGUAGCGGCGCGCCGUAGGUGGCCGGAAUGGCCCAGCGAUC